rnacentral:rRNA from 1 species
CUCCAGACUCCUACGGGAGGCAGCAGUGGGGGAUAUUGCACAAUGGGGGAAACCCUGAUGCAGCGACGCCGCGUGGGUGAAGAGGCGCCUCGGCGCGUAAAGCCCUGUCAGCAGGGAAGAAAAUGACGGUACCUGAAGAAGAAGCCCCGGCUAACUACGUGCCAGCAGCCGCGGUAAUACGUAGGGGGCAAGCGUUAUCCGGAUUUAUUGGGUUUAAAGGGUGCGUAGGCGGAAUAUCAAGUCAGCGGUAAAAAUUCGGGGCUCAACCCCGUCGUGCCGUUGAAACUGAUGUUCUUGAGUGGGCGAGAAGUAUGCGGAAUGCGUGGUGUAGCGGUGAAAUGCAUAGAUAUUAGGAGGAACACCAGUGGCGAAGGCGGCCUGCUGGACGAUGACUGACGUUGAGGCUCGAAAGCGUGGGGAGCAAACAGGAUUAGAUACCCCUGUAA